UACAGAGGAUGCAAGCGUUAUCCGGAAUUACUGGGCGUAAAGCGUCUGCAGGUGGGCUUUUAAGUCCUUUGUUAAAGCCUGAGGCUUAACCUCAGAAAGGCAAAGGAAACUAUUAGUCUAGAGGAUGGUAGAGGUAGAGGGAAUUUCCAGUGGAGCGGUGAAAUGCGUAGAUAUUGGAAAGAACGCCAAUGGCGAAAGCACUCUACUGGGCCAUUUCUGACACUCAGAGACGAAAGCUAGGGGAGCAAAUGGG
rnacentral:rRNA from 1 species